rnacentral:rRNA from 1 species
UACGUAGGGUGCGAGCGUUAAUCGGAUUUACUGGGCGUAAAGCGUGCGCAGGCGGCCCGUUAAGACAGUUGUGAAAGCCCUGGGCUCAACCUAGGAAUUGCGCUUGUGACUGGCGGGCUCGAGUACGGUAGAGGGGGGUGGAAUUCCUGGUGUAGCAGUGAAAUGCGUAGAGAUCAGGAGGAACACCGAUGGCGAAGGCAGCCCCCUGGGCCUGUACUGACGCUCAUGCACGAAAGCGUGGGGAGCAAACAGG